AUUGAACGCUGGCGGCAUGCCUUACACAUGCAAGUCGAACGGUAACGGGCCUUCGGGUGCCGACGAGUGGCGAACGGGUGAGUAAUGUAUCGGAACGUACCUUUCAGUGGGGGAGUAACGUAGCGAAAGUUACGCUAAUACCGCAUAUUCUGUGCGCAGGAAAGCAGGGGAUCGCAAGACCUUGCGCUGAUUGAGCGGCCGAUAUCAGAUUAGCUAGUUGGUGAGGUAAAGGACUCACCAAGGCGACGAUCUGUAGCGGGUCUGAGAGGAUGAUCCGCCACACUGGAACUGAGACACGGUCCAGACUCCUACGGGAGGCAGCAGUGGGGAAUUUUGGACGAAUGGGGGCGAACCCUCGAUUCAGCCAUGCCGCGUGAGUGAAGAAGG
rnacentral:rRNA from 1 species